CUACCCACAGGAAGAGAAGAAGGGAGUUCAGACGUACCGAGUUCACCGCGGAGAGCAAGGGAAGAGCUGGGGAUGGAAGGGCCUGGAGUAGCACGGCCUUUUAUACGCUCCCCUGGGGCUCUGGGCCGCAGUAUAAAAGUGGCCCAACUGCCAGCUCCUCCAUCCUCUCCUCGCGCCUUCCUCUGCUCCGGGAAGUUGUGGCUGCUGUCUUCAGGAGCCUGUUGCGUUGUGCUCAGCCACGUCCCCUCCUGAGAGCAGGGUGAGAGGAGCCCCACCUGGCAAGACCAGGGCACUCCAGGGCAGGGCGUUUGGCUGCGUGAACAGAUGGGUGCUGGUACCAGGGCUGAUGGCCAGGAAGUGCAGA